GCAAACUUGGUCAUUUAGAGGAAGUAAAAGUCGUAACAAGGUUUCCGUAGGUGAACCUGCGGAAGGAUCAUUCAUAAUUAAAAGUGUUACUUUUAAAGUAUCCAACUACCUACCUUUUGUGCACUGUAUUUUUGUUCUUUGGUAUGCUUUGGUCUACUUUUUGGCAGAUCAACCUUUUGAAGACCUCGGUUUUUUGAAGGCGGCAUACCAGAGGUUUAAAUUAAACACUUUUUUAUAAUCUCUACUGUCUGAAAAUGUAUAAUUUUUAAAUUAAAAAAUUAAAAUACAACUUUCAACAACGGAUCUCUUGGCUCUCGCAUCGAUGAAGAACGCAGC
rnacentral:misc_RNA from 1 species